CGCAGCAGGGUGGGCACGUCGCGAAGGCGGUCGAUAAGCUGAGGACACAAAAAAAAACCGCUCGUUUCAAAACGUGUCCAGUUCCAGCAACGACGAUGAGGAAAAAAAACCCUGUGCAAGCAGAAAACUCAUCACUGCAGUGAGGCCCUGUCAUCUGAUCGACACACAUGGACCUCAGAACUACGCGUGGCUGGCUGGGGUAAAGCCCAUCUCAACAGCAGGACCUCAGCCGCUCUUCAUGGUACGUCACCUCAUUAUGUCUUCAUACCUCUUAUUUAACAUUCCUUCCUUACUUCCAACUGAAUUAAUGCUGUGUGCCAAAUUCCACAGUUUCAUUUCUGCACCUCAAUGGAAAGUCAUGCUGCUCCAGAAAAUGCUGUGAGAAAAAUCCUUG